rnacentral:rRNA from 1 species
GAUGAACGCUGGCGGCGUGCCUAAUACAUGCAAGUCGAGCGAACGGACGAGAAGCUUGCUGCUCUGAUGUUAGCGGCGGACGGGUGAGUAACACGUGGAUAACCUACCUAUAAGACUGGGAUAACUUCGGGAAACCGGAGCUAAUACCGGAUAAUAUUUUGAACCGCAUGGUUCAAAAGUGAAAGACGGUCUUGCUGUCACUUAUAGAUGGAUCCGCGCUGCAUUAGCUAGUUGGUAAGGUAACGGCUUACCAAGGCAACGAUGCAUAGCCGACCUGAGAGGGUGAUCGGCCACACUGGAACUGAGACACGGUCCAGACUCCUACGGGAGGCAGCAGUAGGGAAUCUUCCGCAAUGGGCGAAAGCCUGACGGAGCAACGCCGCGUGAGUGAUGAAGGUCUUCGGAUCGUAAAACUCUGUUAUUAGGGAAGAACAUAUGUGUAAGUAACUGUGCACAUCUUGACGGUACCUAAUCAGAAAGCCACGGCUAACUACGUG